rnacentral:rRNA from 1 species
GACGAACGCUGGCGGCGUGCUUAACACAUGCAAGUCGAACGGAAAGGCCCUGCUUGCAGGGUACUCGAGUGGCGAACGGGUGAGUAACACGUGGGUGAUCUGCCCCGCACUUCGGGAUAAGCCUGGGAAACUGGGUCUAAUACCGGAUAGGAGCCAUUUUUAGUGUGAUGGUUGGAAAGUUUUUUCGGUGUAGGAUGAGCUCGCGGCCUAUCAGCUUGUUGGUGGGGUAAUGGCCUACCAAGGCGGCGACGGGUAGCCGGCCUGAGGGGGUGGACGGCCACAUUGGGACUGAGAUACGGCCCAGACUCCUACGGGAGGCAGCAGUGGGGAAUAUUGCACAAUGGGCGCAAGCCUGAUGCAGCGACGCCGCGUGGGGGAUGACGGCCUUCGGGUUGUAAACUCCUUUCGCUAGGGACGAAGCUUUUUGUGACGGUACCUAGAUAAGAAGCACCGGCUAACUACGUG